rnacentral:rRNA from 1 species
GUGCCAGCAGCCGCGGUAAUACGGAAGAUGCAAGCGUUAUCCGGAUUCAUUGGGUUUAAAGGGUGCGCAGGCGGGAAAAUAAGUCAGUGGUGAAAUACUGCCGCUUAACGGUAGUCGUGCCAUUGAUACUGUUUUUCUUGAGUUUGGAUGAGGUAGGCGGAAUGUGCAGUGUAGCGGUGAAAUGCAUAGAGAUUGCACAGAACACCAAUUGCGAAGGCAGCUUACUAAUCCAAUACUGACGCUGAGGCACGAAAGCGUGGGGAGCGAACAGGAUUAGAUACCCUGGUAGUCC